AUUGAACGCUGGCGGCAUGCUUUACACAUGCAAGUCGAACGGUAACAGGUUAAGCUGACGAGUGGCGAACGGGUGAGUAAUGCAUCGGAACGUGCCCGGGCGUGGGGGAUAACGCAGCGAAAGCUUCGCUAAUACCGCGUACGAUCCGAGGAUGAAAGCGGGGGACCGUAAGGCCUCGCGCGAUCGGAGCGGCCGAUGUCAGAUUAGGUAGUUGGUGGGGUAAAGGCUCACCAGGCCAACGAUCUGUAGCUGGUCUGAGAGGCCGACCAGCCACACUGGGACUGAGACACGGCCCAGACUCCUACGGGGGGCAGCAGUGGGGAAUUUUGGACAAUGGGCGAAAGCCUAAUCCAGCAAUGCCGCGUGCAGGAAGAAGGCCUUCGGGUUGUAAACUGCUUUUGUACGGAGCGAAAAGGUCUCCUCUAAUACAGGGGGCUCAUGACGGUACCGUAAGAAUAAGCACCGGCUAACUACGUGCCAGCAGCCGCCGUAA
rnacentral:rRNA from 1 species